AAUGAACGCUGGCGGCAUGCCUAACACAUGCAAGUCUAGGGGUAGCAAUACCACUGGCGCACGGGUGAGUAACACGUAGGUUAUCUGCCCCCAUCACAGACAUAACCCCGGGAAACCGGGCUAAUAUCUGAUGAGGUCGCGAGAUCAAAGCUUCGGCGGAUGGGGAUGAGCCUGCGGCUGAUUAGCUAGUUGGUGAGGUAAUGGCUCACCAAGGCGACGAUCAGUAGCUGGUCUGAGAGGACGAACAGCCACACUGGAACUGAGACACGGUCCAGACUCCUACGGGAGGCAGCAGUGAGGAAUAUUGGUCAAUGGGAGCAAUCCUGAACCAGCAAUGCCGCGUGUGGGAUGACAGGGCUUCGCCUUGUAAACCACUGUCGGACGGGACGAAGGAGGCCUCGGGCCUCUGGGACGGUACCGUCAAAGGAAGGGUCGGCUAACGUACGUGCCAGCAGCCGCGGUAAU
rnacentral:rRNA from 1 species